CCCUAGUAUACACACUUAUUAAUAAAAUUAAUAAUUCUUAAUAAAAAUUAAUAAUUUUGGCGGUAAAUAUAAAAAUUAAAGGAGCUUGUUUUUUAAUUAAGAAUCUGCUCUUUAAAUUUUAAUAUUAAUUUUUGCUUAUUCAUCUCUGUUUUAAAUUUCUUCAGUUAAAUAAAAACUUUUUAAUACUUCAGGUCAAGAUGUAGCUUUUAAUAUAAAAAAUUAGCUACAUUUACAAAGUAUUGGGAUAUAUCUUAUAAAAUUUAUUAAAAAUUGAAUUUAGUAGUAAUACUAUCUAGAAUAAUAAUAUGAUUUUUAAUAUAUUUUAUGUA
rnacentral:rRNA from 1 species